rnacentral:rRNA from 1 species
ACGGAGGGUGCAAGCGUUAUCCGGAUUCAUUGGGUUUAAAGGGUGCGUAGGCGGUUUUAUAAGUCAGUGGUGAAACUAUCGAGCUUAACUUGAUACCUGCCAUUGAUACUGUAUGACUUGAAUAUUAUCGACGCGGGAGGAAUGCGACAAGUAGCGGUGAAAUGCUUAGAUAUGUCGCAGAACACCGAUAGCGAAGGCAUCUCGCGAGGUAAUUAUUGACGCUGAGGCACGAAAGCGUGGGGAUCGAACAG